UUCAGAGAUGUUCACUUGGACUAUGAGGUCAGUAACGAGGGGCUCUCCUCCUGCCCUCUCUCUGCUACAGCCACAUAUACUGAUUCUGAAGAGACAUGAAGUCACGUAGGAGCUGCUGGUCUAUCCUGCUGUUCCUCAGAACAGGAAACAAAAUGAAUUCACCUCUUGUCCUUCUCCUUGGACUCUUGAUCACCGGAGGCUUAAGUUUUCUCCUGCUCCUCGUGUUGCUGUUGUUCUGCUUCAGCUGGCACAAGGGUGCAGUUCAGCAGAAGAGGACAAGAAUCAUAAAGCAACAAGCAGAGAUAUUAUAAAAUAUAAUAAAACACAGAUAUUUGGUGUCUCCA
rnacentral:lncRNA from 1 species